rnacentral:rRNA from 1 species
UACGUAGGUGGCAAGCGUUGUCCGGAUUUACUGGGCGUAAAGAGCGCGCAGGCGGUCGGAUAAGUCGAAUGUGAAAGCCCCCGGCUCAACUGGGGAGGGUCAUUCGAUACUGUUCGACUCGAAGGCAGGAGAGGGAAGUUGGAAUUCCCGGUGUAGUGGUGAAAUGCGUAGAUAUCAGGAGGAACACCGAUGGCGAAGGCAGGACUC